rnacentral:lncRNA from 1 species
UCAUCAUUAAUAAUAGUCACAAAAGUAGCAAUAAAAAGCCUUCAUCCAAACAUACAAUAUAUUUCCUAACCCAAGUCUCCACAAUAUAUAAAAUAGGAACUCUCAAGACAGAUGGUCAUAAGCCUCUCCAGACCAAGUUUACAGAUCAAACCCUUCACGUCAUUCUUUUGCGUGGAGUCUACCAAUUUACUUCCUAGUAGCGGCAACAUCCAGAAUUUGUCUUCCCUCUAUAAAUGCGUUUUCGCUCCCACCACAUUGUCCCCCACAAGCUCUAAUCUUUAGCUAACAAUUUAGCUAUGAGCUUGCAGAUACAAGACACUAAAUUUAUAGGUAUAAAAUCCUUAGUAUUGAAAGCAUCUCAACUUUAGGAAUAAGGGCCAAGAAGGAACCGUUCUUAGAAACUUUAGAAAACAUCAGAAUGAGAUCUUAUUCCAUUGUUUCCCAAUUAUUUUGCAAGAAAGCGAUAUUAAAUCCAUCCAGCCAUAGAGCCUUAUCCUUUUUACAAUUUCUUAGUGCUUCAAGAAUCUCCUCCUCACGAAAAGGUCUCUCCAGCCACUGUACCUUCCACUCAUCAAGAGCGUCAAAAUCUAGGUCAUUUAGAUUCCAUUGCCAACUGAAAGGUUCUAUAUAGAAAGUCGUAAAAAAGCCCACGACAUCCUCCCUCAAGUCUCUGAUCUCUUCAACUACCAGGUCACCGACCUUCAUCUUCUCAAUAUAGUUGCAAACUAUAGUCAUUCUCCAAGCUAACAAAGAACUCGCUAGCUGCCCCCCUUGACCUAAGUGCCCCUAGAUAUUGGGGUCCAAGCAAUUUCAGAAUUUUGAAGAUAAAGUCCUUUCACAUUUCUAAGGGAUGGGAUGAGAUUGUUGAGAAAUCCAGCCAUUGCUAUCUAAUUAAAAGAGUA